rnacentral:tRNA from 1 species
GCUGGCGUAGCUCAGAUGGCCAGAGCAGCUGAUUUGUAAUCAGCAGGUCGCGGGUUCGAGUCCCGCCGCCAGCUCCA